rnacentral:rRNA from 1 species
UUCCGGUUGAUCCCGCCGGACCUGACUGCUAUCGGAUUGGUACUAAGCCAUGCGAGUCAUUGUAGCAAUACAAGGCGGACGGCUCAGUAACACGUAGUCAACCUAACUCGUGGACGUGGAUAACCUCGGGAAACUGAGAAUAAACCGCGAUAGACCAUAGUGCCUGGAAUGGCCUAUGAUCAAAACAGUUUACUGCCAUGGGAUGGGACUGCGGCCUAUCAGCUUGUUGGUGAGGUAAUGGCCCACCAAGGCGAUUACAGGUACGGGCUCUGAGAGGAGAAGCCCGGAGAUGGGUACUGAGACACGGACCCAGGCCCUAUGGGGCGCAGCAGGCGAGAAACCUUAGCAAUGUGCGAAAGCACGACUGGGUCAGUCCGAGUGAUUCCUGAUGAAGGAGUCUUUUGCUUGUCCUAAAAGCACAGGUGAAUAAGGGGUGGGCAAGUCUGGUGUCAGCCGCCGCGGUAAUACCAGCACCUCGAGUGGUCAGGACGUUUAUUGGGCCUAAAGCAUCCGUAGCCGGCGCUGCAAGUCUUCGGUUAAAUCCAUCUGCUUAACAGAUGGGCCGCUGGAGAUACUACAGCGCUAGGGAGUGGGAGAGGCAGACGGUAUUCAGUGGGUAGGGGUAAAAUCCUCUGAUCCAUUGAGGACCACCAGUGGCGAAGGCGGUCUGCCAGAACACGUUCGACGGUGAGGGAUGAAAGCUGGGGGAGCAAACCGGAUUAGAUACCCGGGUAGUCCCAGCUGUAAACGAUGCAAACUCGGUGAUGCAUUGGCUUAUGGCCAAUGCAGUGCCGCAGGGAAGCCGUUAAGUUUGCCGCCUGGGAAGUACGGACGCAAGUCUGAAACUUAAAGGAAUUGGCGGGGGAGCACCACAAGGGGUGAAGCCUGCGGUUCAAUUGGAUUCAACGCCGGA